rnacentral:rRNA from 1 species
UGGGCGAAAGCCUGACCGAGCGACGCCGCGUGUGCGAUGAAGGCCUUUUGGUUGUAAAGCACUGUCGAAGGGGAGCAAGCCGCAAGGUUGAGAGUACCCUUGGAGGAAGCACGGGCUAAGUUCGUGCCAGCAGCCGCGGUAAGACGAACCGUGCGAACGUUAUUCGGAAUCACUGGGCUUAAAGGGUGCGUAGGCGGGUGGACAAGUCGAGGGUGAAAGCCUCUAGCUUAACUAGAGAAGUGCCCUCGAUACUGUUUGUCUUGAGAGAGAUAGGGGCACACGGAACUUCCGGUGGAGCGGUGAAAUGCGUAGAUAUCGGAAGGAACGCCGGUGGCGAAAGCGGUGUGCUGGAUCUUUUCUGACGCUGAGGCACGAAAGCUAGGGUAGCGAACGGGAUUAGAUACCCCGGUAGUCCUAGCCCUAAACGAUGAGUACUAGAUUGUGGACUGACAUGGGUUCACAGUCGAAGCAAAAGUGUUAAGUACUCCGCCUGGGGA